UACGGAAGGUCCCGAGCGUUUGUUCGGAAUCACUGGGCGUAAAGGGCGCGUAGGCGGCCUGUUAAGUCUGGAGUGAAAGUCCUGCUUUCAAGGUGGGAAUUGCUUUGGAUACUGGCGGGCUGGAGUGCAGGAGAGGUUAGUGGAAUUCCCGGUGUAGCGGUGAAAUGCGUAGAGAUCGGGAGGAACACCAGUGGCGAAGGCGGCUCACUGGUCCAUUACUGACGCUGAGGUGCGAAAGCGUGGGGAGCGAACGAG
rnacentral:rRNA from 1 species